ACAAGCCGAAGAAGAAGCAAGGUAAUUAUAUGAUAACUCCUUGCAACUUUUUCAUUUGUGAUACUACUGCUUGGGUAUUGGAUACCGGAAGUCCUUAUCAUAUUUGUAAUUCGAUGUAGGGUCUGCAGAUCAGUAGGAGAUUUGAUGAAGGCGAGAGGUUCCUGAACGUUGGAGAUGGAAGCAAAGUUUCAGUUCUAGCUUUAAGAAUCAUGAGUCUUGUAAUCA
rnacentral:lncRNA from 1 species